UACGUAGGGUGCGAGCGUUGUCCGGAAUUAUUGGGCGUAAAGAGCUUGUAGGCGGUUUGUCGCGUCUGCCGUGAAAAUUCGAGGCUCAACCUCGAACUUGCGGUGGGUACGGGCAGACUAGAGUGUGGUAGGGGAGACUGGAAUUCCUGGUGUAGCGGUGGAAUGCGCAGAUAUCAGGAGGAACACCAAUGGCGAAGGCAGAUCUCUGGGCCGUAACUGACGCUGAGGAGCGAAAGCAUGGGGAGCGAACAGG
rnacentral:rRNA from 1 species